rnacentral:rRNA from 1 species
UACGGGGGGUGCGAGCGUUGUCCGGAAUCACUGGGCGUAAAGGGCGCGUAGGUGGUUUGAUAAGGGUGUGGUGAAAGCCCGGGGCUCAACCCCGGGGUCUGCCGUGCCGACUGUCAAACUCGAGGGCUGUAGAGGCAGACGGAAUUCCGGGUGUAGCGGUGGAAUGCGUAGAGAUCCGGAGGAACACCAAAGGCGAAGGCAGUGUCCUGGGGAGUACCUGACGCUCAGGUGCGAAAGCCAGGGGAGCGAACGGG